CUCAGAUUCCUGGUCAGUUGCUUGCUUUGGAUGGAAUUGUAUGUCCACUGAAGAAACAGGUUUAUAGCCUUAUCCUCCAUGAAUUUGCCCUCUUCUACAGCCAUCCAAGAUGGCGGCAGCCACUGCCUCAUGUGCAAGAGAGUUCCACAGUUUAAUGAUGCACAGUGUGAAGAA